rnacentral:rRNA from 1 species
UACGUAGGGCGCAAGCGUUGUCCGGAAUUAUUGGGCGUAAAGAGCUCGUAGGCGGUCUGUCGCGUCGAUCGUGAAAACUUGGGGCUUAACCCUGAGCUUGCGGUCGAUACGGGCAUGACUGGAGUUCGGCAGGGGAGACUGGAAUUCCUGGUGUAGCGGUGAAAUGCGCAGAUAUCAGGAGGAACACCGGUGGCGAAGGCGGGUCUCUGGGCCGAUACUGACGCUGAGGAGCGAAAAGCGUGGGGAGCGAACAGG